AAGAAGGAAGGAAGGAAGAAAGGAAGAAAGGAAGAAAGGAAGAAAGGAAGAAACUGGCCGCUCAGUAAAUUAAAUUGCUUGUGUGAUUGACAGAACUGAAGCAGAAAUACAACCUUGCAUGGUCACCUACAGACAACUGAGCCUGUGCCUGUUUACCUCCAGGUGAUUCACCACAUACUGAUGUCAAUCAAAACGGAUCAGAUGGAUCACACCUGAAAGGUGCCCAUUCGUCUCUGUUAAUUACACAGGAAUCCCAGGGUAACUUUUUCAGAUACUGAUGUCUAUGCUCCAGACCUCUAAAACACGGGGAGGCGAGGCAUAGCUUUUCAGUCCGUGAUAUUCCUGGUCUCUAACACAUGGUGUUGGGGGGACAGUACACGGGAUACGUUUUACAUGCUCUGUCUUUCAGGGAAGUGAAAGGCCGGAGUCAUCACUAACUUCCCGUUCAGCAGCAAAUAUGCAGUGUUAAACGCUGUCGUUAAAAAGUGACUCUGCUGUGUUGAUGUGCCGCUCAUAGGUGAGCAAAACCCCACAGGAACCUUGUCCUAGAUGCAAAUGCGAGGUGGAGAGCCUGGUUGCGCUGGCUCAGAUGGAAGGGUACACUCCCUGUUAUUCAGGUCUGUGAUUGCUGCGAGAACCAAGCCUUGCUCUUCUUCGGAGGAGAAAACGGGGCCUCAGGAAAGGGUUUGGUGACUUUGUGCUGCUUUCUGAAAGCCGGAGUGAAACAAACCUUUCAGGGGAAACAAUGCUAAUAGAGUCAUCUCUUUGGCACAUGAGUCCCUGCUGGAAAGAAAGUCUGCUAAUCCCCUCUAUAGUCUCUCUAUUUAUACCCUUAGGCAGCACACAAACUGGCCAAGUACAAGAACAAAAGCUGACUAGAAAUAUCUCCUGUGACUGUUGUUCUCAUGAGCUAUUAUCCCCUUUAUUAAGGAUCUGGCUAAGAGCAACCUCUGUUAAGGACAAUGUUCUGCAAAGCAAUGUGAUUAUCAUGCUGAUUUAGGUGAAACUUGGCCCUGUGGCUUGCCUCUCCUGCCCUCGCUAAGCUCGGGACCCAGCCGUCUGGGCUUGCUCAGGGGCCAGUGUGGCUCCUGCUUACACGGUGAUGAGCUUCAGCCUGGAAGUCAUCUUAGCCAUUAUUUUAAGACAUUCAGAAGCAUACAGGUUACAAUAAAAAGGAAAAAAAAAGUAUCUUAGACUACUCAUCUAAGUGUCACCUUAGAGACAAGGCCAUGUAGAGAAGGGCAAGGCCCAGGACUAUAUUCCAGAUCACUGCUGUCCUGAGCUGUUUCUUUAUUUAUGAGCAUUUUGAAAAUUAAAUAUCAAUUAUAUUUCAUUUUUAUAUUAUAUAUAUAUGCAAAUCAUUAUUAGUUGUGGUGAUCUUCCUUAUUUAGAAGGGUUGAGUGCAGUUUUUAUGUCAUGAAGAUAAAAAUCCACUCCAAUGUCCUUUUUCGCCAUGGCUGAAUAAAGGUGUGUCUUCUUGACCUGGAACAGCCCUGGUUCCUUUGUGUCAAUAAAAUCCAAAAAGGAAAAGAAACCAAAGUUGGAUUUUCUGAUCUUUCAGAACAAAACAAAACCAACCAACCAACCAAAAUAUUUCCAGAGAAUUUGGAAAUACAGAGUGCAAACAAGUCUGGUGGUUUAAUUGAAGCAAAAGGGAUAUGGGGGGUGGCUCAUCAUGCUUGGUUGUGCAGAGCAUGAAACUUUUCCUCUUUGGAAUAGAGAAUAGAUGGGAUGUACUUUAGGAUUCUGAAGUUAGAAUUGUUGAAAAGAUUUGAUUAAAUUUAUCUUACCUGGAACCGUUUUACAAACUGACCAAAUGUAAUGUUUUCAUUUACGUAUUAAAAGUGUGACUGGGGAUAGGUAAUGAAGUAACCUGGAUGUAAGGUGUCUGUCAGCUGAAUGAUGGAGAUUCUUGCAAAAGAAUCUUGCAAAAAAAUGCUUUUUCAGACUAUGUGGUUGCAACUUUCAAAUCCUUCCAAUAAUGGACAAUCAAAAAGUUUAUCUGUAUGAUACCAUGACCUUUCAAGUGGCAAUCCCACUGAUGUGGUGGUGCAGUAUUCUUAAAAGUUUGCUGCUGCUGUAGGAUGUCAGGCUUGAGAGAUGCCACCAGAGUGGGGCAAUGAAGAACUGCCAUGGAGGAAAAAGCAAUCCACCUCAAAGCUGAGGCACACUUGUAUCCCCUUUCUGAAUGAAGAUGUUGGAAGUUGGAAAGCCUGUUGUACCUCAUGUUGAAUUUUGUCUCUUUGGGUCUAUCUGUCUGAUCCACAACUUGUCUGUUGCUCAUUAGAAGAAUGAUCUCCUAGGAGUGCAUUGUGCAGAGCCUCUAACACCUCUGUAGGAGCUACAGUAGCAAACAGGGGAAGAGAAACACUAUUUAGCAAUUUUUUCUUACCCUAAGAAUUCAGCUUUAAUCAAAGUGGGGUAUUGGAUAAUGGAAGUGGUCUUCCCAAGUCAGCUGUUUGCCGGUGUUGUUAACAUUUCUGUGUAAAGCCAUUUCUGAAAAUGAGCCUAGCUCCUUAGCAAGCCCUCCAGUGUCUUCCUGGAGCUUCCUCAGGAGGUUUGAAUUCAGCCCCCUUCCACUUUCCUUCUGACUCUGGCUCUGCAUUUUGAAGAUGCAUACUCACAAGUUAAGACAUCACAUAUUGCUCACUCCUUCUCUCCUGCAAAGGCAGGAUUUAAUAUUAAUCUUUGUUUGCUCAACAGUAAGAGUUGUAUUUAAUCUAAGAUCUUUUAAAUUUAACACUGAUAAAUUGAGCUCUUCCUUAAUGUAUGUUCACAUUCUUUCUCAGUCUGUUAUAUAUGCGUUGUACAAAUGUGAUGCAUUGGCUUUGUAAACACACAAAUAAACAAAAGGAAUUAACUUCUUCCCACUAGAGAAAAAAAAACAAAAAACAAAAAACAUUUGCAAAACAGGUUACUUCUCUGUGAAGUAAUGUAGCUGUGAGAGCUGUAGUUCAUCCUGUGCCAGGCUCAGGGAGGCUGAGCUGAUCUGACUCUGCUUUACCCCUGAACAGGAAGGUCCGACCCCAACUUCUGGCUGCACGUUCCCUCGCACCAGCACUGAUGCUGUUGCUGGCUGGUUCUGUAAUAAGCCCGUUUGAUUCACUAUUCAAGCUGAAUAGGUGAAAAAUUAGGUAAUUUUCUGCUGGGUUCAUGCUUUGCAACAUCUUCAAAACAGGCUUGAUAAAGUCACAUGUGUACAAUGGAUGUAAUUCUGAUACUUGGUUUGCAAAAUUCUCCUGUUACCCACAGGAUGCUGAUGCUGAAAGGAGCUUGCAAGAAAGAGACACUACCUAAAGAACAAAGAAGGGUGUGAAAACAGUGAUAUAAUACACAAUGUGCUUUAGCAUGUGUACUUCUUAAAGAGAAGAAAAUGGAGUGUCUCUGCAGGUAAGCACUGAGUUGCAACAGGUCUCUCUGUCGCUAAUCUGGAGGCACCACACUGCAGGAGAGGCAGGCCAGUGUUUGCCUUUCCCAGAUUUAAAUGAGCAGUUACUAAUUAACAGCAGAUAUGGAAAGAAUUUCUCAGCUGUUGCUCCGGAGCCUCUGUCAGCACCAAACAGGGCUCCCUGUCCCUCACCCUGCAGCCUCAGCCUCACCCAAACCUCCUGCACGUCUCCCGUCUGAUGUUUGUGCCCCCAGCUGCACAGCAGGCUUCUGCCGUCCCCACACGUCCUGGUCUCCCUGCUGUUUUCAGAUGCAAGGUCACAGUUUGUGUUGGCAAGCCAAGAAACAACAGUGACGUAUUCUGUUCAAGACCAUACUUAGGACAAUAGUGAAGGGCCUGAUUCUGCCAAUUUUUAGCUGCCGGUAUAACGUCCUAUGCAGUCAAAGUUAAGAACAACCAGAGGGCAUGUCUGAACUUGAAAACUCCUUUGGAUUAAGGUGAAACACAAAUUCAAGGCACAAUGGCUCUCCCUGAAUAGCGAUAUUCAGAAGACCAAGCCCAGGUGCCAAGACCAGCCCUGUGUGUUUGCAGUCGUGCAGAGGACUCUUAAAGGCACAGCAUGGCCCAAUCUCUCUCUCCCCCCCCUCCCCUUCCCCCCUUAUUAUUAUUAUUAUUAGUUUUAAAGAAAAAGUCAUUACAAUAAUUGUGGGAUAAGGAGCAGAUUUAUCACAGGACAAAUAACCUUAACCCCGGCUUGCCUCUUGGUGAGCUUUCAGCUCUAUAAAACCCAAGAACCUGACAAACCCCUCAAAGUCAGGGACCCGUGGUGGAGUGGAUGGACUUUGGGGCCUGAGCAACGAGCAGGAGCGAUUGGUCACCCACCAUGUCCCACUGCCAGCAGGGAGCAGACCAAAGCAAAGAUCCUGCAGUGCCCUGGUCACAGAGGCUUAAAUGUAAUUGUGCUCGACCAGAGCAGCCAGACUGGUUUAGAAAAUGACUGCAUGAAUGAGCACAAUGCGGCUGUAAGAGGAGACUCCGUACUGGGGUCCAAAGAGGAUCUCAGAAGAAUGGGGAGGGAGACCGAGUGAGAAAUGGAGAGAGAUCUGAAGCUUGCACUCUGCUGCUCUCCCGUAUUUGAGUCAAAAUUAAGCUGCUGCCUCUCGUGUACCCACUGCCUGCUGCUUGGGCUGCAUGAGCCCUAAAGAGGAACACAAAAGCUGGACUGCCUGGAGGUGGGAGCACCUUCCAGACUUGAUUCAGAUUAAGAAAUAAACGAUGACUUGGAAACAAAACACGGGGCUUAUCAUGACAGGAGUGAAAAGAAUCUAAAACAGUGGCGGUGGUCUGCAAUUUGUGGUGCUCACAUCUUACUUUAAGGCAAUGAAAUGGUCACUGACACGGAUUCAUCUGUACAAGGUAAGAGUCUGGCCUACUUACAAAGUGUAAAAAGAGUAAAAUUGAUUAAUAUGUUAAAAGUAAUGUUAAUUUUCCCUUCAAACAGAUCUUCAAACAUUAUUAAAGUGACCCAGUCUUGAAAAAAGUUACAAAUACAAUUAAGUUGGCAGCUGACCCCACCCCCCUGAAGCAUUUAAUUCCUAUGUCUCGCUGUGUACUGGCAGUGCACGUUUCAGCAGAUGGAGGUAGAGGCUAUGUACAUUGCACAGCUUUAGAGGUUUGGGCACUGUGCUGAGAUUAACACUGCACAUGGCAAAACAAACUAAAUUCCUGAUAUAAUGCUUUCUGAAAGUGAAUGUUAUGGCUAUGUUAGCAAGUAGCAUGGCACUUGGGAAGCAAAACACAGAGCAAAAAGCUGACACUGACAUCAGCUGAAGCUGAUGCCCACCAAGUACUCACAGUUCUCUUCAGACCCAAAAUGCCUACCAGAGACCAUGAUGGGCAUAUCUAAGACCUGUCUUCUGGUUUGGUUUAAGACAAAAGGAAUCUGGUUCAUGAGCUCCAAGACCAGAUGUGAAUCACCACCCAGAAAGUGGGGACAAGUGGAAGACGAGUUUCAAACUCCUGAGCUGAACAAAAUGGUAAUGUAGAAACCCACCCAAGGAUAUCCAUGUCAUGACACUGAGCCUGCUGGAGUUAAAGAAGUGUUUGGACAAUGCUGUCAGAAAUAUGGUCUGAAUUUUGGUUGUGGCCAGGGGUUGGAUUUGAUGAUCCUUGAGGGUCCCUUCCAACUCAGGAUAUUCUCUCAUUCUGUAAUUCUAGGUGGUUAGGAAUUUAUUACAAGAGGAGCACAUACUUUGCUGGGGUAGCAUGCUAUUUAUUUAUUUAUU